rnacentral:siRNA from 1 species
AACAUAAAAAGGUAUUGUUGCAA